UGAUUAGUCCUUUGAGAACUUUGCCUCAUCC
rnacentral:piRNA from 1 species